ensembl:lncRNA
GAUAAAUUUAACAAUACACACAGUGAUUCAAACAAUUUGAGAAAACCACAACAGGAAGAUAAAUGAAUGGUUAAAAUGGUACAAAAUACCAUGAAGCACUAAUGAAUGAAUGAAUUCUCAGGGUUUAUGAGUUUUAUCCUGACCUCUAUCCUGUCAUAAACCGUCUCGUUAGUGUUUCUGAGUGAGUGUACGGAGUCACCUCGCUAAUCUAAUCUCGGCUAAUCUCAGUUAGUUUGCUAAGCUAAUGCUAAUCUAAUCGAAAAACUAUGCUAGCAUGAAGCAUAAGAUGUAAACAUAAAUCAAAGAAAGUGAUGUAUAAAUCAUAUAAUGGGCUUUUUUAAAUAUAUAUAUAUAUAUAUAUAUAUAUAUAGUUUGGCUGCUAUCAUUUCUCGUUCGAAUUUAUUUCAGGCCACGCCCACGAGCGACAAACUACACGCGACGCCUCAGAGCUUGUGCGAAAGUAAGAUAAGAGUGCCAAUACUUUUGGAACCAGACGAAAAAAACAAACAAACAAAAAAAACUACGCAGACAUCAUAUAUGUCUAAACUGAAGAUAUUACUCACGGCAUGACGGGAUUUUAUAAAGUCCCUUUCUAUCCGUUUUGAAGGUAUUCGUUCUGUAACGACGGAUUCGAGCGCAUUUCUACACAGCAUCUGGGAACUGCUGAAUGUGUGAAGGUUUGUGCUCGCAUCAAUCUGUUUUAUCUGUGUGUGACUUGCAGUUAUAAGGUUUUAAAGCACUCUGGCUUAACAUUAGUCGGUUUAAUUUGCUAUAUAAAUAAAAUUGACUUCCUGGAACUCCGCCGAGACUCUACCGGGGUUCAGGAACGUGCGAUCAGGCGAAGAGACGCGGCGGUUCCAGAGCGAGUCGCUACCGUCUGCGGCGCUGUGAUUCGUCUGAUAUGUGCACGAUUAUCUCUCUCCUUCGCUACCGAAUAUCAGCCAGAGGGUGUAAUAUUCCUGUCACACACUGAUGCGUGGAAAUGACAGAUGAUGAUGGUAUUAAGAAAUAUUUUCCCAUACUGCUAGCUUUCAUACACUGACAGACAUAUUAGCAUCUGUUGCAUGAAUUCAACUGAAAAGUGACAUUUCCAUUAUUUAGUUAAAUAUACUGGAGCGAUUCCGUGAAAGAGAUAUAUUUCUCACGCAAAUAAAUCCGGUGCUCUUGUUUUUGGUCUGAUGGGGUUAAUUUAAUUACACUUGAAUUUGUUUUUAUUACAGUUUUCGUUUGAAAAUUGCGUCAUAAAGCCCAGCUCUGAGCAGCUCAAUAAGCGGCUGAACAAAAACAGCGAAGAACUUGACAGCGAUCACUUAUAUUUGAGAUUGUUUCAAAAUAUUUCCUUCAGUAAACAGCUGUGUAACCGCACUGGCAACAGUGAUGUCCCCCAUGACGCCAGCAGGACACGCGACCGGGAAUAAUGGAGCAACCGAUAAAGGAUCACCAGCGUGACUCGACACGUCCCGGCCUCGCUUUUCUCUCUCUCUCUCUUGAAGUUAAUAAGAAAAUAAAUAUGCAGCUUUCCACGUUACCAAGAAACUCCAAAAACCUAAAUUCCUCUGUCCUGAAGAUGUCCGUAUGCUCCUAAAAGGGUUCUACCUGGAGAACUAAGUGUUCUUACACCACUAAAAGGGUUCUACACGGAGGACUAAGGCUUCUUGUGCUCCUAAAAGGAUUCUACUUGGAGAUCUAGGUGUUCGUAUGCUCCUAAAAGGGUUCUACUUGGAGGCCUAAGGGUUCUUAUGCUCCUAAAGGGGUUCUACUUGGAGAUCUAGGUGGUCGUAUGCUCAUAAAAUGGUUCUACUUGAUGAUCUAAGUGUUCUUAUGCUCCUAAAAGGGUUCUACUUGGAGGCCUAAGGGUUCUUAUGCUCCUAAAAGGGUUCUACUUGGAGGCCUAAGGGUUCUUAUGCUCCUAAAAGGGUUCUACUUGGAGAUCUAGGUGGUCGUAUGCUCCUAAAAUGGUUCUACUUGAUGAUCUAAGUGUUCUUAUGCUCCUAAAAGGGUUCUACUUGGAGAUCUAGUGUUCGUAUGCUCAUAAAAUGGUUCUACUCAUAGGACAAAGGGUUUUUAUGCUCCUAAAAGGGUUCUACUUGGAGAUCUAGGUGGUCGUACGCUCCUAAAAGGGUUCUACUUGAUGAACUAAGUGUUCUUAUGCUCCUAAAAGGGUGCUAAUUUGAGGACUAAGGGUUCUUAUGCUCCUAAAAGGGUUCUACUUGGACUGCUCAGGGUUCUUAUGCUCCUAAAAGGGUUCUACUUAAAGGACUAUGUGUUCUUAUGCUCCUGAAAGGGUUCUACUUGAAUGAGCUGUUACUACGGACUCAAAAAAAAAAAAAAACCCCUAAAUGUUUAAGAAGAGAAUGUUUCAGAAUUGCGUAAAGACGACGGACUUCCUGUUUGCUUCCUGUUUUUCUGGAGCAGAUCCUCUGUCCCGACCAAUCACACGCACUUAUGUCAGUCAUUUAGCUGAAGGCAUCCCCUCGAGAAUGCAAAGUGUUUUCACAGACGUUCUUAGAUUUAUUUACCUUCUCUAGCUGCGAUUAGUGAAGUGACAACAGGGCUUUCCCCCCAAAAGAUAAACGAGCGCGUUUAAAGACGACUGGACGUGUUUCGUAAGUGUUUAUUCUCAGCUUCAGUUUGAAAACACAGCGCUAGUAGAAAAUAAAAUAAAAUAAGAAAAAAAAAAGUUGUGAAGUGAAAAUAAUGCGUGGAAUUUAUAGCAACGAGUGGAGCGUUAAUAGUGUAGAAUUAAAAGCUUGUUGUUAUUUAUUCCUGUCGGAUGCAGGGAAAUUUCACGUAACUGGACCUUCACGACUUUUAAUCGAAUCUUUUUGGGUUUUUUUUUUUUUUUUUCAAACCAAUAACAUCAGAUCUUUCAGUCCUUCGUGGGGAGAAAAGAUCCGUUUUACUCAUUUACUUCCACCCCCCUUUACUGUUCCCCCUCUUUUCUCUAAAACUCCGUUGGUAGCAAUUCAUUAUGACUCAUCGAUACUCAGUUUCCAUUUUGAGCAGUGUAUAUUUCCCACCGCUGAUUCCGACAGCGCUCGCAUUAGAAAACAGAGACAUGUUGGCGGCAAAAAAAAACUUCAGAGUUCAUUUCGAAAAGGAAUGAUCAGGAGUCAAGCGUGGGCAGAAAUGACAAAGGACAGACUUGGAAAAGGACAAGCGAAGAUCGUGUCGAGGGUAAAAAAAAAUGGCAGCGUAAGCAAAAGACAUUCGCACACACUUCCACACGCACACACACACACACACACACACACGACCCUGAGUUCCUACAAGCAAGCGACAAGGUUGACACACUGCCGUCAUCACUCAUGUGCACAGUAGUAAAUAAAUCUCCUGCUCAGUCUUACAGUAUUAAGCUCUGAUUACAAAUGAAGCCAAAAUGUAAACAGUGUCAUUUACAAUCUAUCAUUUAUUUAUUGUAGAAUUCAUCAUUUGAGCUGCUAUCACAAAUGUGGCAAAACUCUCAAUAGUGUAACUUUAAAAAAACAACAAAAACAAAACACCGGUACGUCUUUAUUGGAACAGACUAACUCUAAGGCUGAUAUUUUAUUAUUUCAUAUAUAAAAGAUGAGUGACGUCGCGUUCAAAUAAAAACGGAUCCGACUCGAAGAAGACGGACAAAGAAACGGAGACAGAAAGUAAAAUCCUGAAUCGAUGCUACUGAAAGAGAGCCGGUGGCGAAGAGAGCCGAGAAAGAGGCGUUUAGCUCGUCACAGGAGAACAUGUGGUAUAAGUGAGUGUGAGGUCCGAGAAAAAGAUCAGCAUGAGCAAAAAAAUAAAUAAAGCGAUCGAUCAAAAACAAACACCCCGCCCCCAAAUUAUAGAUUUUAUUUAAUAAAUUACUUCAUUCAUUAAUUUGUUUGAAUAUUACUUCAAUGUGAAAAAAAAAUUAAAUAAUAAAAUCUUACACUAGGUAAAAAAAAAACAAAAAAAAACGAAACAAUACUUUUUAUUUGAUUUGAUUUUUAAUAUAAUUUUUUCCUAGUUUAUUUUUGGUAUCGUGUAUUGUUAAUUGUGUAUAUCAAAAAUGUGGCCAAAAAGGGAAAAAAAAAAAAAAAAAUCGUACCGAAAGUUUUUGCAGCAACAAUAAAAAAAAAAAAAAAAAAAAAAGGAAAAACAAGAAUACAAAAAUAAAUAAAUAAAUAAAAUAAAAAAAUCCUAGUGUAGUUUUGGUGUCAUGUGACAAAAAAAAACCUACAUACGUUUUUAUCGUAUUAUUCUUUUAAAUUCUUUUAUUUUCAUAUAAAACACUUCCUAGUUUAGUUUUGGUAUCGGGUAUUGUUUAAAACUACAUUUAAAAAACACAACAACAAAAACUAAUACUGAAGGUUUUUACAACAAAACAAAAAAGGAAAAAAUUAAAAAUCCUACAGUAGUUUUGUUGUCAUGUGAGGAGAAAAAAACAACAACCUACAAACAAUUUUGUCACAUUGUAACGCUGCAAUAGUAGAAAAUCUUUGACUAAAAUGAUACCAAAUAUAUUAAUUUUUUUGUUAAGGAAAAAAAAAAAAAACUUACUAAAAAAAUACUAAAAAUGUUUUUCCUAUUACAGUUUUGAUAUCAAAGCCAAGAUGAUUGUAAUGUAUUACGACGACCCUAAUAACCCUCUUACUUAUGUGUUUAAAAUAUAUAUUAACAGUUUGAUCUAUUUGUUUAAAACAGAUUCGUUAUAUUUAAAGGGAUAGUUCACCCCAAAAUCGUCAGUUACUCCGCCUCACGUCGUUCCAAACCCGUGAGACUUUCGUUCGUCGUCGGAAAACGCAAACGAAGACGUUUUUUAAUGAAACCUGGGAGUUUUCUGUCCCUCUGUUUACGAUCCAUGUAACUUUCAAGCUCCAAAAAGUUCAUAAAGGCAUCGUAGAAGGAAUCCACGUGACCCCGGUGGUUUAAUCCCAGUUUUCUGAAGCGAUACGAAUGUUUCGUGUGUACAAAAAAAAAAAAAAAAAAAAAUCCCAACUAAAAUUAAAAUAUCUUUAUUCGCAUAGAAUAUCUUCACUUCUGCGUAGACGUACGAGGGCGAGUAACUGACGACAGAACUCUCAUUUUUGGGUGAACUAUCCCUUUAAAUUUGUCUUCCACUGCUCUUUGUUGAAAACCUAAACUCAGGCCUGGGGUAUUCACGAGGUAUUUAAUUUGCAUGAAUUUAAUAGUAGUAAAUACUUAAAUGAACGGAUGAAUUUUAGAAUAAACUUAAAGGAAACGAUGUCGCUUUGUCGCUUGCUAAUGUGAACGCAGGGUGAAAUGUUAUACCGUGUAAAGAAGCCAAGAAACCAACAUUAAAGUUCGUACAACGAUGUUGACAUCCGAAUGUCAUGCACACGUCUUUGUCCCAUAAGUAAGUAUGUACACACACACACACACACACACACACACACAUGUUGGUUUGCAGUCAGUGUGAAGUGUUCGAGACCCUCUGUUUUCAUGCUGAGGUUGUAAACAGGACUGCAUGUUCAACCGACGAGAAAUCCGAGACGAGGGUCACCACAAGGUCGUCAUCGUUCUCAUACACGGGGUUGUUAAAUAGCACGGAAUAAGGUCCGAGUUGGAAAAAACGACGUGAAUAGAAUCCCUUCUUUUUACUCGGAUGAUGAAGACGACGAACAUGAAGAAGAUAAAGGAUUCCUGACUCGCCCGUCGCUCGUUAGUUUAGCAUUAGAUACCAAAUUGUUUAUUCCUGCCGGAUAAAGAUGGACGAGAACGAAAUGCACAAAAGGCACCACCGAAGCCUUCCACGUCCACGUCCAGGUCCACGUCCACGUCCACACCGUCGUUCACGAGUCCAUUUCACAAAGCUGUAGUGGAGAAGCUCCUACAAAAUGGCAGGCGAUUAAAAGAAACCGUGUUUUUUGUUUGUUCGUUUUAUUUGCAAAAAAAAAUCCGUCUCGAGCAUUAUAAUACAAAAUGCUUUCACAGCAAGGGAUUCUGGGAAACGAUAAUUAGCUCGCUCGCCUCCUCCGAUACACUCCUACGAUCCGGACGAAAGGAAAUGGCCGAAGUGUGACGCGAUGCGAUGGGAAUUCUUUACAGGAACCCUGUUGCGGUUGAUAAAGUGGACAUAGGAGUCCGGCUAGUGAAUUGUGGGAAUGUCUCCGAUCCAGGCUCGAGGCAGCGGUCUGGGACACACGUAUUCAUUCUAGGACAGAAAAGAAAAAAAAAAGAAGAAAAAAGACGAUUAGCCCAACACAAAGCUCCGUGGGUUUUCCCCACACCGCCACAUUUCUGUAGUGAACAGAGAAAUGAAUUAUGCUAAGGUUAAUUACUGUGUCAAAGUGCAAGCAUGCAUGGUCGAUUUUGAUCAAACAGAUAAAACAGAGGGUGAUGGCACGCGUGAAAUGAACUCCCGAGAAGAAGCGCAGUACAACGCCAUGCUUGUCUGAGACCGCUCUUUACGAUAAUAAUUAAAAUGCGGGUGAACGAAUGAAGCAGUUCGAUCUGGACGGAGUGACCUUGCCAUUGUGAGCGCUUUAUCUUAACUAGAUUACAUAAAAACUCCCCUGAAUACCAAUUUGGAAUAUGAGCCCAAAAAAUAGACUGCUAUCUCAAUUACCCUGAAGUUCAGCACAAGAUUUUUACAUUAUUGAGAGUAAUGGAGAGUCGGUUUUUUCCCUGCCCCCCGAUACUCUAAAAUCUUUUCAUCGUAGGUGUAAUGAGGACGACGCGGCACUUUCCUCUUACAGUGUCUAGCAAGGUUCGGAAUUCCUCAACUAAGAAUGUUUUCUCUAUAAACCUGCUAUUUAACGAUGCAUUAUAACAUGUCACGUAGUGUACAUUAUACGUUCUAAACCUCAAAUGGCCCCGUUGUGUCCUCCAAAGCAUUUUUCGUUUACUUUGAAAUGAGGUAGAAUCUGAAUAAAAGGUAAAGAACUGAAUUUGAAGCUUGCAGGAGAAAGAAAAAAAGCCAGGUUUGGGUUGGAUUGCUCAUGUGGUGCUGCACGAUGCGAUUAUCUCCAUCAUUCAUUCAUGUUCAGUAGAUUUUUUUGUUCUGGAAAGCAAGUAGGGUGUAGUCAAGCCUGCCAUUUUCAAACCCAAGACCAGUCCAAGACCAGGUCUAGUCAAGAUCUAGUCAAGACUGAGUCAUGCGAGGCCAAGUCAACAGUGAUUUCCAAA